GCGAGUGAAGCGGGAUGAGCUCAAAUUUGUAAUCUGGUGGACUCAGUUCAUCCGAAUUGUAAUCUAUAGAAAAGUUUUCCGCGCUGGACCGUGUCUAAGUCCCUUGGAACAGGGUGUCAGAGAGGGUGAGAAUCCCGUGCUUGAUACGACCACCAGUGCUAUGUGAUACUUUUUCAACGAGUCGAGUUGUUUGGGAAUGCAGCUCAAAAUGGGUGGUAAAUUCCAUCUAAAGCUAAAUAUUGGCGAGAGACCGAUAGCGAACAAGUACCGUGAGGGAAAGAUGAAAAGCACUUUGGAAAGAGAGUUAAACAGUACGUGAAAUUGUUAAAAGGGAAACGAUUGAAGUCAGUCGUGCUCUCUAGGACUCAGCCAGUUCUUCUGGUGUAUUUCCUAGUGAGCGGGUCAACAUCAGUUUAGAUCGCUGGAUAAGGUCAUUAGGAAUGUGGCUCCCUCGGGAGUGUUAUAGCCUAGUGUCGCAUACAGUGGUUUAGACUGAGGAACGCAGCUCGCCUUUAUGGCCGGGGUUCGCCCACGUCCGAGCUUAGGAUGUUGACAUAAUGGCUUUAAACGACCC
rnacentral:rRNA from 1 species